AUUUAUGUCCAGGCAAAGUAAACGAUUCACAAACAUAUUUCUGUUUGCUCCUUCCUGUAGAUAAAAAUACAACUUCAUAAGAGUGCGGGCCCCUUUAAGAGCCAGCGUCUACAGCAGCAGCAGCUUCAGCUUCACAUCCACAUCAUCCUCUGCUGCUGGUCCACCUGACAGCAGCCAACAGCAGAGCAGAGCAGAGCCGAGCGGCAGACAGGCAGCACCGGCCGCAAACACCUGAUUCGCAUCACCUCAAACGGGCGUCCCGGAGAGGAAUGGCAGGCACUUAGCCUGCCAGCUAACCGAUAACAUUUCCUAAAAGCGGAAGGUGCGCGGUCGCUGCCGGACCAUCAUGGUUUCGUGGAUGAUUUCGAGGAUAGUUGUCCUCGCCUUUGGGACGCUGUACCCGGCGUACUCCUCAUACAAGGCUGUCAAAACGAAGAAUGUGAAGGAAUAUGUGAAGUGGAUGAUGUACUGGAUAGUCUUUGCACUGUUCACCACAGCAGAGACGGCCACAGAUCUGCUGCUAUCGUGGUUUCCAUUUUACUUUGAGUUAAAGAUCGCCUUCGUGAUCUGGCUCCUGUCGCCCUACACCAAGGGUUCCAGUGUCCUCUACCGCAAGUUUGUCCACCCAACACUGUCCAACAAAGAGAGGGAGAUUGAUGAGUAUAUAGCCCAGGCCAAAGACAGGAGUUAUGAGACCAUGAUGAAGUUUGGAAAGCGGGGUCUAAACCUGGCUGCAAAUGCUGCUGUCACUGCAGCUGCAAAGGGACAGGGCGUGCUGUCGGACAAGCUGCGGAGUUUCAGCAUGCAAGACCUGACUCUCAUCAACGCCGACGGUGAGCUGUCUCUGCACACUUCAGAUCCACGCACGAGACGGGAGGCGUCGGACGAUAUGAGCUCAGGGUCCAGCACGCUGCCGCGGGCCAAGAGCUCCUCCGCACGGCAGGCCCGCUCCCUGGCUACCACGUCCGUUGCCGACGACGUGUCAUCCCAACACAGCUCUGACCAAUCAGACACAAGGACUGAACACUCGGAUGACGACAUGAUAGACAAAGCCCCCAAACGUGGGACCGCUGUCAAGGUGACAAAGAAAACCACAACCGCUGCUGUUAAAACUGAGACCCAAACCAAGACGGUCAAGAAACCCGCAAAGAAAAAGACCACGACUGCUAACGCAGAGACGCCACCAUGAGGCCUGCUUUCCCCACCUGACCCAGUCGUUGUCUGACACUGCUGCCACCAUCUCUCCACCCACAGCCUGCAGGCUUUCCAACCUGCUUUGUCUGAACACUAAUGCAUAUCCGUCACAUCUGUGUGUAUAUUUAUAUAUAUAUAUAUUUAUAGAGUUUUUAGCCAAACGUGGCCACUUUCGUUUUAGGAGAGGAGAGAGAGUAUAGUUUAAGUCUUAUAAUUAUCAGUUAGUUAUAAACAGUAUAGUUGUUCUACAUGCAGUAUUUUCUCUUACCAGCAGGAGAAAAUAUUUGAUUUAAAACUGUUUUCCCUUUGUUGUUGGAAGUUGCACACAGGCCACAUGUUCACAUCCUCCUCCUCCUGCUGAUGAUGGUGGCCGUAAAAAAAACACCUUAACAACUGGCAGUCUCUGAAGUGUUACUAGAGUUUAAGAACUUAAAAACAUAAUUAUUUCCAAUUUCUGCUCAGCCCAGCAGUGCUGUUGAUCGGCAUCCGCCUCAUCUCUCUUUACCCUUUUAGUUUUUUUAUGUUAUUCCAAAGGAAGUGGUUUGUUUAGUGUGGGCUUAGAUAUCCUUCACGUAGACAUCACAUCCUUAUUUACCUCUUCCCCCUUCCCUCCCCCAGGUUCCCUAUCCUCCUCAAUCCUGGUGCUUAUAUUCAUUGGACUUUUGUUUGUCUUGUCAGCUGUGCAAACCGAUUCACUUCGACUCGUUGCUGUAAAGGACUGAGGGUGGCGCUGUUACCUAACAAAUACAAUCACAUCACAGUCACAUAAGAGCUGAUGUGAGGCAGCGAGGUAUCUGCUUUUAUUGACGUCCUUUAUAAUCUCUUUGUUCUGUUGUAGAAUGUCUCGGAGUAGCGCCGCACUUUCCACUUACUUUUGCUGUCUAGAAAGUCCUGCAGGUUGGAAAUAUUCAGAGCAAUUUUUUUAUUAUUAUUUAUACCUCCUUCUAUAUAAUAGGAGUAGAGACUGUCAUACCAGUUGUGUUUCUCAACUCGACUGAACUGAAGCUGUUGGAUUUUUCAUUGUUUUCAGUUGCUGGUCUCGACGUGCAUGAUUUAUCUGGACGCGGCAGAUGUGAAAGCUUGAGAAAACUCCCGCACUCAUUACUGCGGUUUGCAGUGUAAUGCUCCCAUGAACCACUAGAGGGUGCCAACCCCAAACUUUUGGCAAAGUCACUAAACUCCACGUAAACUCGUGUAAAUAGAGAACUUGACUGUACAUACAGUAAGAGCUUGCUUGCCUUAUUCAUUCUCUGGUCAGACGAUUUCCUAAUCUUUGGACUUGGAACAAAAAAAAAAACCCUCAGUAAUAAUAAAUCAUAUGUCCUUACGCCAGAGCAAAUGUGAAGACUUAUAGAGUUGGAAUUUGUUUUUAGAAUUUUAACUGUUUUUUUUUUCCUUUUUUCGUUUAGACACAUGAACAUUUGGUCACAAUGGUAAAGACCCACGGGCAAAAAUACGAACCGAUUGUCAGGACUGGAGAUUUGUGUCUUUCAGGUGACGUUUACACAGCCAUGAUACGACUGUGAAUACUGGAGCUACAUCGCAGAUUCAGCUGUGUUUCCCAGAGCAGAACAGAGCAGAGAGACUAUACGGUCAGCCCCGCCUCUCUGUAACCUUUCAACUCAGUGACCCUGCUCAACGUCACACGAUAACAACAAUGGCGGAGACCAUGCUACUUCCGACCGUGUUGGAAAUGCUAAUUCGGCCACAUGGUAGGAGUGCAAACCGCCCAGACGUCGUAUGAGCUGAUACACUACCAACCUUCAACACGCGGUGGAGCUGUCCGCCCAACAAUGAAAGAACGAGGGGGCCAACGUUAGUAACGGAUUUCUAUGCAUUGGUCAAGAAGAAUGAGGAGAAGAAGUAGAUGAAGAAGGAAUACAUCUUUCAUCUGAAAGGGCAGCCACACUGUGUGGACAACAAUUGGCUUUGAGUGAAACCUGGUCUCAUUUAAAUGAAACCCAAAGAUCGACAAACGUGGUCUACGAACUGGGCUGUCAGAAGCUUCCGGGUCACAUCACAUCCCUACUAAGGUCUACCCGCAUCGUCAUCCUUCUUGUGUCAGUGGUCACAAAACCUCGCGCCAACAGCCAGUGUGUCAACGUGACAGGACAGGAAAAGGAAAGGACGUGGAAACCCCACAGAGAUUUAUGAACUUCUUUUGAACCAUCCUUGAGGUGAUGAUGGUCCACAUCAAUCCAAACCCGAACCGACCCGAACUGCUGCCGAACGUUGCAACGUCUCUCCACGGUCAGGAAUCCAAAACCCAGUAAAGAGAACUCAUGUCACAGAGUGGGGAAAACAUGAAAACGCCAUACUGAAAGUUACCACCAGGGGCUGGACCUACUGACUAACUGCUGUAAGCUGCUUCCAUCAGCAGAAGACAUCAUGGCUAAUCAUCUGGUCUCCUCCUGCACGUUAUUCUGACGUUCUUCACACUCCUCUGACAAACUAAGAACUCCUAAUGUUCUCGUCCAGGCAGCUACGGCGUCCUCGUCUCCACACGUCUUUCUUCAAACCCCUGGACGUCGGUGACCCUCCGUCUCCACUGUUGGCCAAAACAUCUUCCGUGUUUCCUGCUCCUCUCCCUCCACUGGGACUGUGUUGUUGGACACCCUGAGGAUACAGGGAGAUGAAAGGGAGCCGGUCUCCUGGGAACUCCAGCCGUUGGACAACAAAGCCCGGCGCUCUCUGGGAAUUCGUCUCUGCAGCGGCAGGCAAACUCUGGGAUGCAGCAUCUCCAGGUGCUGUAUUACCAUAAUGGUUCUUGCAGUGGCGAUGUACUAAGCAGCAGUAUGGAAAUGUAACACGCCACAGUGCACAUUAUCGGAGCUGACUGCAUUAGAUGUCGCCUGUGAAAUGCCACGAACCUCUCGUCGGUCUGUGUCCACCAUUGGCUGAUUCUCCUCGACGUCGUGUGCCGGACAUUUUCAACAGGACUACACAUCUGGACCGCAUGCAGGACAGAAGAAAAACUCGUCCACAGUAAGGUUCACUCCUGCCACCGUUCCCUCCAGUGUUUGAUAUCGUUUGUUCUUCGCUGAUGGAACAAAUCACUGUUUCUUGCAUCAGAAAACACCGGUGAUCCGCCAAGUAACGACAUGUCAUUCGAUGUAUGCACUGCUGGUAUAUUGUUGAUUGACAAUAAAAAACAGUCUUAAGU